rnacentral:rRNA from 1 species
GCUAAUACCGGAUAAGAAAGACAGAUCGCAUGAUCAGCUUUUAAAGGUACGGCGUAAAGCUGUCGCUAUGGGGAUGGGCCCCGCGGUGCAUUAGCUAGUUGGUAAGGUAAAGGACUUACCAAGGGCGAUGAUGCAUAGCCCGAGUUGAGAGACUGAUCGGCCACAUUGGGGACUGAGACACGGCCCAAACUCCUACGGGAGGCAGCAGUAGGGAAUCUUCCACAAUGGACGCAAGUCUGAUGGAGCAAACGCCGCGUGAGUGAAGAAGGUUUUCGGAUCGUAAAGCUCUGUUGUUGGUGAAGAAGGAUAGAGGUAGUAACUGGCCCUUUAUUUGACGGUAAUCAACCAGAAAGUCACGGGCUAACUACGUGCCAGCAGCCGCGGUAAAU